CCUACGGGAGGCAGCAGGGAGGAAUAUUGGUCAAUGGGCGCGAGCCUGAACCAGCAAAGUAGCGUGAAGGAUGACUGCCCUACGGGUUGUAAACUUCUUUUAUAAAGGAAUAAAGUGAGGCACGUGUGCCUUUUUGUAUGUACGUUAUGAAUAAGGAUCGGCUAACUCCGUGCCAGCAGCCGCGGUAAUACGGAGGAUCCGAGCGUUAUCCGGAUUUAUUGGGUUGAAAGGGAGCGUAGAAGGGUUGUUAAGUCAGUUGCUUAAGUUUGCGGCUCCACCGUAAAAUUGCAAUUGAUACUGGCAGUCUUGCGUACAGUUGCGGUAGGCGGCAUUCGUGGUGUAGCGG
rnacentral:rRNA from 1 species